UACAGAGGUCUCAAGCGUUGUUCGGAUUCAUUGGGCGUAAAGGGUGCGUAGGCGGCGCGGUAAGUCGGGUGUGAAAUCUCGGAGCUUAACUCCGAAACUGCAUUCGAUACUGCCGUGCUUGAGGACUGGAGAGGAGACUGGAAUUUACGGUGUAGCGGUGAAAUGCGUAGAUAUCGGAAAGAACACCAACGGCGAAAGCACUCUGCUGGGCCGACACUGACACUGAGAGACGAAAGCUAGGGGAGCGAAUGGG
rnacentral:rRNA from 1 species